CACCUUCCAUCUUGGGGGUCAGAAGCAUCUCUGAAAGCCAGGAUACUGUAACACCACCAGAAAUAAUUAAACCCUCCACCUUUGUUUUUCAUUAUCAGAGCACAGAGUAGGAGGGCAGCAGGCACUAAGGCCUGGGAGCUCUGCUAGCCAUCUCCGUACUCUGGGCUGAGGCCCUCACCAACCCCCAGGCUCUAUUUCAGGUCCCUAAUACCCUGAGGUACUCUCGAUCAGAAUUCCAAUUUCAAAAGCAGUGAUUAGGCCCUUAAAGCAGUGAUUAGGCUCCUUGAGCCCAGAGGAGGCAAAGGCGAAAACAAGCUGUGAGGUCCAGGAAAAAGGCCCCAAAGAGUCCGGUGUUUACAAGACCAGAAAUGCCACGGCCACGUCCUGGUGGAGAGAAAGGCUGAAAUGGAGGACCGACGCCUUCCUUAUAAGCUUGUUGGGGCCUGAGCCAGCACCGAUCUGGUAGAAAAAGCAACCACGAAGCUAGAGAGAGAGCCAGAGGAGGAAAGAGUGAGCCAGAAGACUACGAAAGAAAGUGAACCACGCAGCAAAAUGCAGGGGAGGGAACCAGGCGGCAGGUCCCUCCUGAACAAAUGUGGCAGAGCGCAAGACAGGCACUCAUGGACAGAGGAAUUCGUAGAGAUAUUUGGGGUCCUCUUCCCCGAAAAGGACUCAGAGAGAAUUGAUAAUUCGAGGUCUUUCCGCUGGAUCCGGGAGACCCCCAGCUUCACCCUUCCACUCACCAUUAGAGGAAGGACUCGGAGGGGAGGCAGAGAAAGCAGAAAAAGGAGGCGCCAGCUACGCACGGAUCUGCCUGCCUGUUCUUGAAAAUCUGGAGACUUGAACUAUUCUUCCACUGUCAUUUCCGAGGGACAACGGAGCUUUUGGGGGGUCUCCUGGAGUCUUCGCAGCAGGAGGCUUUGGAGCCCCCACAGGGCUGGACUGCCUGAUAAGGGCUCAAUUCCCACUACAGAGGAGAUACCCACAGCCCAGAACCGGCCCAGCCUGCUGCUCGGCCCAUCAGAUAGCAGUGCAGAGGCCAGUGGUAGGAUGCCUCCUGAGGUGGGCUGGGAGUGAGGGAAAGAACUCCUGGAGAAUUCUCUUGUUGGGAGCUUUAAAUUAUAUUUAUGGUGCAAACCUCAGAAGCUCCUUCCAGAGAAGGAGGAGAGCCCAGCGCUGGGCAUUGGCAAGAUAAUCUGCAAUCAUCUACAAAACCACAACCCAAUCUCAACUAGGUCCACAGGACACACCAAGCAGAUUAAAAAGAGAAACGAGAUAAAACUCCCCCAAACCAGAUGCAACUUACUGGGGUCUGGUAGAGAAAACACUCGAAUUUCUAUGUGAAUAUUUCGAGCUCUGAACCAACCCAUGGCUUAAGUAAUACAGCGUUCAGCAAACGUCUAAAUACGUAAAAAUACCAGAAGGUUUAGACAAAAAUAAUGGAGAGACGGAGAGACUGAGAGUCCGAGAGAAUACUAGAGAAAGAAAUCCAUGUAGGUGAAAGUUAAAUAUUUGAGAAUGAGCCCAAGCUACAAAAGCAGACGGAAGCAGAGAAGACUCUCCCUCCUUUUCUCUCUCCCUCCCCUCUCUACUAUGCAGGACCCGGCAGAGAGAAACGCAGAUUCUUCGAAUUCCACCGCUCCCAGGGUGAUUUCAUAUCCCAAACUAUAGCUGCUCACUCCGACAGAAAUGUGUCCCCCGCGGGUGCCGCCUAGCCCGAGCUGCUCGAAGCUACCAGCUCCGCGCCCGCCCCUCGCCCCGCUUGGCCGGUUCCCCUUCCCCGCCCCGGCUGGCGAGGCUGCCCGGCCCCUCCCGCCCGAGGAGCCCGCCCCGCGUAGGGCCCACACGCCCGAACCCAGGCCCAGCGGAGGGAUGCCAGACUCGAUCCUCACCUCCAGUUAGAACCCGAGAGCCAGGCGCACCGAGGAAUGGGCAGAAGACUUGGCCUUUUUGUGCCUAAUUGAUAAGGGGCUGCGAGGCUGUGGAGAGGAGCAUCCCUCAGCUGCAAAUUACA